rnacentral:tRNA from 1 species
GGUAGCUAUAGCUCAAUGGUAGAGCACUCGUAUGUGGCAUGAGUGACCUGAGUUCAAUCCUCAGUAGUUACC